CUUAAUCUUCCUACAACAAGGAGGACUUUGUGCAGCCUUAAAAUAGGAAUGCUGUGCUUAUGUAGAUAAGACUGGACUUGUAGAAGACAGUCUAAAAAAGGUGAGAGUUAGCCUAGAAAAACGAAGGAGAGAGAGAGCAACAAGAGUCUUGCUACAAAAACUGGUUUUCUACAUCCCCAUGGCUCUCUACCCUGUUGCCCUCAAUUUUGGGACCCCUUGUGGGCCUACUUUUGUAGAUUUCCUUUGGUCCUUGGGCCUUUCAGCGACUUAUAUGCUUUAUUAAAUCACAAAUAGAUUCUGCUUUGCCUAGAAAUUCUGAUUCAGUACCUUAUCAUUGCUUGGAGACCAGAAUAGCUGAGGAGAACCAGAGAGACAAUGAACAAGAUGAGGUGCCUACAACAUAUCAGGAGAGGCUUGAUUUCCACAAUCUCUUAUAUUAAUGUCAUCUGGCCCCUACUCUUUCGCCCCUGGGCUCAAAUAAGAGGAAUGAGUAGAUGACCCAGUGUAGCCAUCAUCAACGACGGGCAACUUCCUCUGACCCUUGACCAAUCUAAGACAUGGAGCCUUGAGGGCAACAAGCACAGGAAGAUAACAUUCAAGGGAUGCCUCAGCUUGAGCAUUUACCAGUUAUCUCCUGAGUCAACACCCGGUGUCUCCACCGCAUGACCUCAUCGUCUACCGCCUGACCUCUUUGCCUCCUGCUAUCACUGACUAUAUCCUCAUCCCUCCAUCCUUUGUGUUUCACAAAGGACACUCCCCCUACCUGAAAGCCUUAAAAGCUGGAACGUUCACCCCAAUAAAUGAGACCUUGACAAUAGAA